rnacentral:rRNA from 1 species
UGGGGAAUAUUGGGCAAUGGGCGAAAGCCUGACCCAGCAACGCCGCGUGAAGGAAGAAGGUCUUCGGAUUGCAAACUUCUUUUAUGAGGGACGAAGGACGUGACGGUACCUCAUGAAUAAGCCACGGCUAACUACGUGCCAGCAGCCGCGGUAAUACGUAGGUGGCAAGCGUUAUCCGGAUUUACUGGGUGUAAAGGGCGUGUAGGCGGGACUGCAAGUCGGAUGUGAAAACUAUGGGCUCAACCCAUAGCCUGCAUUUGAAACUGUAGUUCUUGAGUGUCGGAGAGGCAAUCGGAAUUCCGUGUGUAGCGGUAGAAAUGCGUAGAUAUACGGAGGAACACCA